rnacentral:tRNA from 1 species
GCCGGGGUGGCGGAACUGGUAGACGCGCCGGUCUCAAAAACCGGUGAGGGUAACCUCGUGCCGGUUCGAUUCCGGCCCUCGGCA